ensembl:lncRNA
CCCGGGCCUCAAAGCCAGACCCAAAGCCAGACCAAAGGCACCAAGGCCAGAUCUCACAUCUCAGGCCCAGACCCGCGGCCCAGCCCAUGAUCCAAGGCCCCAGGCCCAGACCCCAAACCCUGACCCCACACCCCAGCCCAUGACCCAAGGCCCCAGAUCCAGACCCCAAACCCUGACCCAAGGCCCCAGGCCCUGACCCAAGGCCCCAGGCCCAGACCCCAGGCCCAAGAUCCAGACCCCAAACCCUGACCCCACACCCCACACCCCAGCCCAUGACCCAAGGCCCCAGGCCCCAGGCCCAGACCCCAAACCCUGACCCCACACCCCAGCCCCUGACCAAAGGCCCCAGGCCCAGACCCCAGGCUCAAGAUCCAGACCCCAAACCCUAACCCGAAACCCCAGCUCCAGCCCCUCACUCAAGGCCCCAGGCCCAGACCCACACCCCAAACUCUGACCCCACACCUCUGACCCUACACUCCAGCCCCAAGGCCCCAGGCCCGGAUCCAGACCCCAGCCCCCAACCCCACACCCCAGCUCCAACCCCUGACCCAAAGGCCCAGGCCUAUACCCCAGGCCCACAUCCAGACCCCAAACUCUGACCUCACACCCCAAAGGCUCCAGCCCUUAACCCAAGGCCCCAGAUCCAGACCCCAGGCCCAGACCCCAAACCCUGACCCCACGCCCCAGCUUCAGUCCCUGACCCAAGGCCCCAGGCCCCUCACCCCAGGCCUAUGCCCCAGGCCCAGACCCAGACCCCAAACUCUGACCCCACACCCCAGGCCCAGACCCCACAACCCAGCUCCAGCCCCUGACCCAAGGGCCCAGACCCCAGAUCCAGACCCCAAACCCUGACCCCACACCCCAGCCCCUGACCCAAGGCCCCAGACCCAGACCCCAACCCCAAAGGCUCCAGCCCCUGACCCAAGGCCCCAGAUCCAGAUCUAGGCCCCAAGCCCAAAGGCCCCAGGCCCAGCUCCAGGCCCCAAGUGCAGAUCCCACACCCCACACCCAGGCCCCAGAUCCACACCGAGAGCCCACACCGACCCCAAACCCCAC